CACGACUGUUUUAUUUUACCUUCGUAAUAUAUACGUACCAAUACGUACUCUAGACUAUUGUCUAUAUUAUUAUUGUCUGGUUCAUGAAUUGAAACACAGGUCCGGUAGGUCACAUAUUUACAAUAACUCAGUGUUUUAACUGCGUAGACAUGUUCUCUACAAAAUGAUGCGAAAAUAAUUUCUCUCUUCUGACCAGACUUUAUUUCUCGACAGAUUGGACAGAACUUAUGAUGCGUCCAGUUGUGAGCCGAAGAAUGUUUUUGCCUUUCGGGCUAAUGCGCUUUUAAUUUGAACAUCUGCGUGAUGUUAGGGACGGACCAUUAGAAAAGUGAUGGGGAGGGGGGUAGGGGUAGGGCAAAACCAAAACAAUUUUAUUCCCAGAAAAAAAUUAGGGGAAAAAAUCUUCCCAGGCAUAGUGCAAAAAAAAUUCCUAGCUUGGAAGGUAAGCCCAAAAAUUUCACUUAAAAAAAAUUUCCAGCCAUCAAGUGAGAAAAAAAAUUUCUUCAAAAGGUGUACAAAAAAAAUAUUGUCUCUUAGAAAAUCCCCCCCCCCAUCAUCACUUUUCUAAUGGUCCGUCCCUUAACUUAGGCGUCUUAGCGCAUACUGUGGGUGAUGAAUACCGCACUUCGAAGCUUUAUUUCUUUUACAGACUUAAUUAGGAGUACUAGGUUGUAUAUAGUUUAUAGUUAUUAGUAGUAGAUAAUAUUUAUUAUACUGUAUACCUUUUUGAAUUCUGAUCGUUUAGUUGGCUGUUUAUGGUCACGUGAUAUUGAAUAGAAAAUUCCAUUUCCCAAAAGUGCAAUGGAAUUUGCGAGUGCAAUUGUACUAUACGUUUUAUUCAAU